rnacentral:rRNA from 1 species
GUGGGGAAUAUUCCGCAAUGGACGAAAGUCUGACGGAGCAACGCCGCGUGAGUGAUGAAGGUUUUCGGACUGUAAAGCUCUGUUGUUUGGGACGAAAGUGCCUGUUGCGAACAGUUACGGGUAUUGACGGUACUAAACGAGGAAGCCACGGCUAACUACGUGCCAGCAGCCGCGGUAAUACGUAGGUGGCAAGCGUUGUCCGGAAUUAUUGGGCGUAAAGAGCAUGUAGGCGGGCAUCUAAGUCUGUUGUUAAAAUGCGGGGCUCAACCCCGUAUUGCGAUGGAAACUGGGUGUCUUGAGUGCAGGAGAGGAAAGGGGAAUUCCCAGUGUAGCGGUGAAAUGCGUAGAUAUUGGGAGGAACACCAGUGGCGAAGGCGCCUUUCUGGACUGUGUCUGACGCUGAGAUGCGAAAGCCAGGGUAGCGAACGGGAUUAGAAACCCCGGUAGUCC